AUUGAACGCUGGCGGCAGGCCUAACACAUGCAAGUCGAACGGUAGCACAGAGAGCUUGCUCUCGGGUGACGAGUGGCGGACGGGUGAGUAAUGUCUGAGAAACUGCCCGAUGGAGGGGGAUAACUACUGGAAACGGUAGCUAAUACCGCAUAACGUCGCAAGACCAAAGUGGGGGACCUUCGGGCCUCACACCAUCGGAUGUGCCCAGAUGGGACUAGCUAGUAGGUGGGGUAAUGGCUCACCUAGGCGACGAUCCCUAGCUGGUCUGGGAGGAUGACCAGCCACACUGGAACUGAGACACGGUCCAGACUCCUACGGGAGGCAGCAGUGGGGAAUAUUGCACAAUGGGCGCAAGCCUGAUGCAGCCAUGCCGCGUGUAUGAAGAAGGCCUUCGGGUUGUAAAGUACUUUCAGCGGGGAGGAAGGCGGUGAAGUUAAUAACUUCACCGAUUGACGUUACCCGCAGAAGAAGCACCGGCUAACUCCGUGCCAGCCGCCGCCGUAA
rnacentral:rRNA from 1 species